AUAUUUGACAUGAUAUGAGUGAUAACACGUGUUAUAAGGGCUAUUUUGCACAAUAGGUGUGCCUUGAGAUUUUUACUUGUCCUUUGGUGUGCCUUGGGCACAAAAAGUUUGGGAACCACUGCUCUAGAUGAACUCAAUCUAACUGGAACAAACAGCUUCUUACCUGUUGCUUCCUGCACCAGCAUGUAGGUAAUGCUAUUGGAAUGUCUGGUUUGAUGGGAACCGAUUCAUUCAGCCCGAAGGCUGUUUUUUUAAGGCAUUUAGCCAUGGAAAAGUUCACUUUAGAAUAACAAGCACAUACUGUACAUCAGUGACCCACAACUGGCGGCCCGCGGGCCACAUCCGGCCCGCCCGACAUUCUCAUCCGGCCCGCACUACGGGGGUGACUGUGGCGUUGGCUGAGUGUUUACUGCGUUCGCCUCCCACCCAUUUUAUUUUUUUACAACGUCGUGAGUAAGGUGCAGUACCGGAGUCCAACAGAGAGGCAGCAGACUGCGUACUGCGAAACCUUCCCUGCCUUCAAGAAGAAGUGACCCUUCGUUGUGAAGAGUCUGAUUUGUGCGCUCCGCUGGGCUACUCCUCUAACUGUAUGGGGUGCAGUACCGGAGUCCAACAGAGAGGCAGCAGACUGCGUACUGCGAAACCUUCCCUGCCUUCAAGAAGAAGUGACCCUUCGUUGUGAAGAGUCUGAUUUGUGCGCUCCGCUGGGCUACUCCUCUAACUGUAUGGGGUGCAGUACCGGAGUCCAACAGAGAGGCAGCAGACUGCGUACUGCGAAACCUUCCCUGCCUUCAAGAAGAAGUGACCCUUCGUUGUGAAGAGUCUGAUUUGUGCGCUCCGCUGGGCUACUCCUCUAACUGUAUGGGGUGAGUUACUGUAAACACAGUUAAAAGAAGAUACACAUUUGUUUCUAAAAGUACUACAUUAAGAUUAAGAUUAUACGUUACGAUAUAGAAACUGAUUUACAUGUAAUCUGGAUGUACCAAAAUACUACGUACAGUAUACUUUUGCAGAGUAAUCAAAAUAAUCAAAUCAAAUAUUUGCACUAUUGUUCUGGAAAGUGGAAAGCUGUCGAGACUCUAUGAACUCAAUCUAACUGGAACAAACAGCUUCUUACCUGUUGCUUCCUGCACCAGAAUGUAGAUCAUGCUAUCGUAACCUCUGGUUUGAUGGGAACCGAUUCAUUCAGCCCGAAGGCUGUUUUUCAUGGCAUUUAUAUGGGAAAGUUCACUUUGGAAUAACAACGGCAAAAACAAUUAUUUCUAAAAUACAUUUUCUUUUUAAUGAAGGAUCAUUAUUGCCGUGAUUGCUACUAAUUUAAUAAUAUUCCAACAGAAUCAGAAAUCCUUUAUUUGUCCCGCAACUGGGACAUUUACAGGUGUUACAGCCGCAAAGCUGCAGUGCGAAAAUAAAAAGAGUAGACUUGUAGACUAGUAGAAAAGGCAUCACAUAUUUUAAUCUUCCCAUAUGAACAAUAUAUAUCUUUCUUUAAGAAAAAGAGCGCGCGGAAUUAUCUCUAGGCUUGUUUGAGACAAGCGAGACCUGCGCAGAGCUGCGCAAUUUCGAUCAACGUCUUGCUAGUGCGUUGCAUGAUGGUUAGUCAUUUUGUCCGACUUGCUCUGUGUCACGAUCACAGGUAC